ensembl:lncRNA LINC03021 long intergenic non-protein coding RNA 3021
UCCUUCUGAUGUUCGGAUGUGUUCGGAGUUUCUUCCUUCUGGUGGGUUCGUGGUCUCGCUGGCUCGGGAGUGAAGCUGCAGACGUUUGCGAGAAAUCUAAAUACAUGACCACAGUUUGAGCUCCUGUCUGAAGAGAUUUUUUAAAGGCUGUUUUCUCAUUAAAGCUGGGAUUUUCAUCAUGCUGAGUUCAGAGGAACUCGUGAGUUAUGACAAAAAGAUAUUAUGACUCCCAUGCAGCGGAUGAAGACAUUGAUGCCCAUGAAAGGUAAUUCAGUUCCAACCCCUUCAGUGACAGCAGAGAGACCCAGGCCACCUUCCUUGAGGAUUUCGGAGCUGCAGCCCACAGCCAGGGCCAGAGUGGACUCAGCUCUCCAACCCACGCCCAUGAAUCUCUGCGACUAAAGAUUUCCCCAGACGCUCCCAGGUUCCUCCUGAUCUGCAGCAUUGUCGUCCCUGCCACUGACCAGGAAGCCCUCUGUGCUCCCAUAGCCCCUUCAGAAACCUGUGACUUCCUGAGUCCUAAGUCUUCAGCAGAAACAGCAGCUGCCCCACGCCUUGAGCG